GACGAACGCUGGCGGCGUGCUUAAUACAUGCAAGUCGAACGCAGUGGGGACGGGUGAGUAACACGUGGGUAACCUCCCAUCAGAGGGGAUAACACUUGGAAACAGGUGCUAAACCGAUACUGGAGGAUGGACCCGGGGUGCAUUAGCCAGUUGGUGAGGUAACGGCUCACCAAGGCCACGAUGCAUAGCCGGCCGGAGAGGGUGAUCGGCCACACUGGGACUGAGACACGGCCCAGACUCCUACGGGAGGCAGCAGUGGGGAAGCUUCGGCUAUGGGCGAAAGUCUGACCGAGCCACGCCGCGUGAGUGAAGAAGGUUUUCGGUUCGUAAAACUCUGUUGUUGAAGAAGCGGUAUCUAACCAGAAAGCCACGGCUAACUACGUGCCAGCCGCCGCGGUAAUAC
rnacentral:rRNA from 1 species